ACAAAGGCUCUUCUAAGAGCCCCCCAUGUUCUCUCUACAAGAUCU
rfam:Xenopus laevis strain J chromosome 5S, whole genome shotgun sequence.